ACCGCCACCACCUGCAGAGCUGCCUCGAAGCCCUGCGCGGUUACGGGCGAAGC
rnacentral:pre_miRNA from 1 species